UUUAAACAUUCAAAUAUUUCUUUUGAAUAAUUCAGCUAAACGUUGAAACGUUUCAAGACCAAAAAGAGAUAAGUUCAAUUUUUCUUAAUAUGUACACACAUAUAUAUAUAUAUAAAUAUAUAUAUGUGUGUGUGAAUACAUUUUACAAUGAACUAUUCGAACCUUCCUUCCGCAGGUAGAGGAAUUCUUAUUGUGAACCAUUCACAGGUAGACGAAUUUAUCACAGCAGGUAGUAAUUCCUCUCCUGUCGCAGGUAAAAUGAUCUAAGGUAACACGAGAAGCCCCCUUGCUUGGAAGAUUCUCCUUUUUCAAUAUACUUCUCCCUUUUUUUUUUGGUCUAUACCAUACUAUUCUUUUGUUAUUCUAAUCUUUUAUCUAUUACUAUGCACCUAACACAAAGUCUAAUAAUUAACCCAAAACCAUUUGUUUGUAUCUUAAAUUGUAACUAAAAGAAAAAAAACAAUUCAACACUUUUACUCUUAAAUAACCUUUAAAUGAAUAGGGUCAAGAUUUAACGAAAUUUAUUUAACUAAAUUCUGGGGGUAGCUGACAAAAACAAACCACUUUCCAAAUUUGAACAAUUAAAAUGGACAGAAAAAUGGAUGUUUGUCAAACCUAACCUAACCUAGACUAUGAAAUAGCUUUGUUUAUGAGAAACGUGGAUAGUCUAGCGGCUAGUCGAAGAACUAACUAAUAUUUUGAAGUGUGUGUGUGUGUGUGAGAGAGAUAAUAUGAGUCUACACAUACAAACACACACAUCUGCAACACUUAGUUAUCAGGAGUGGGGAUUACGAAGCACCGCAUAAAGAGGAGACCACGAAAAUAAUAUCAUCAUCGUUUCAUCGUUUCGUUGUCAAAAUUUGAAUAAUUAUUAGAAGAGGCCAGACAAAUGAAAAUUUACUAUAGUUUCCUAUAUACAAUCAUAAUAAGUAACUUCCGGUAUCUACCAGAUUAAACACUGAACGUCCUUGAGAGGCCAAAUACCUGUUGUGUUGCAACUUUGCAGAUCGAUAUCUCGCAUUUAACUUUCGUAAGAAUAUAAAUGGUCAAGUGGGCGAUUGUUUUUGUAACAAUUCAAAACAAUUAUAAAAGAAAUUUGCAUAUCAAAUCGAUGAAUUAUAAAUUAUUUAUUUUGCGUUGAUUAUUUGUUGGUAAAAAUGUAAACUUAAUUUUUGUUUUUUUUAAUAACAUAAAUUACACAUAGAAAAUGUUUGUAGAUUAGGUGUGAAAUUUUUGUUGAAAAAUAAUUCGUGUGUAAUAAAUUAGUUAGAAGUGACAUAAAUUGGCACUAUUCUUUUUAUUUCUUCUACGUUGUCAUAAGAAUGCGGAUGUAUUAUUAUGGUAAAGCCUUAAUCAGCUUAUCUCGCAAGGUAUACUAACUAGAGUAUUAGAAAAGAAACCUUUUAUUUAUGAGUAAAGUUAGGUUAUAAAACAAAUGUUUAA